AUUGAACGCUGGCGGCAGGCCUAACACAUGCAAGUCGAGCGGAUGAAGGGAGCUUGCUCCUGGAUUCAGCGGCGGACGGGUGAGUAAUGCCUAGGAAUCUGCCUGGUAGUGGGGGAUAACGUCCGGAAACGGGCGCUAAUACCGCAUACGUCCUGAGGGAGAAAGUGGGGGAUCUUCGGACCUCACGCUAUCAGAUGAGCCUAGGUCGGAUUAGCUAGUUGGUGGGGUAAAGGCCUACCAAGGCGACGAUCCGUAACUGGUCUGAGAGGAUGAUCAGUCAACCGUGAACGGAGAAAGGGUCCAGAUGCCUACGGGAGGCAGCGGUGGGGAAUAUUGAACAUGGGCGAAAGCCUGAUCCAGCCAUGCCGCGUGUGUGAAGAAGGUCUUCGGAUUGUAAAGCACUUUAAGUUGGGAGGAAGGGCAGUAAGUUAAUACCUUGCUGUUUUGACGUUACCAACAGAAUAAGCACCGGCUAACUUCGUG
rnacentral:rRNA from 1 species